UUCGCUUCUCAGCCACCAGCAGACAAAGAGGUUUCCUCUUCAUCCACCACUCAUUUCUACCAUGAAUCCUUCUUACCUCAAGCCCAGAAGCAAGGAGGCCAAGCAAUCAUGGAUGAAAACUUCUAAACUCUGGCAUCAGAACUCCUCUAAGGGGAGAACUGUCAUUGUUUGGAAGAUUCUCCUGACAAAUCUGAAAUAAAAGGUCCACUGUGGGUCCCUGAAGCUCUGCUCUGUUUCUUCUCUCUAGAAUCCAGGCUGCCAGCAUCUUAACCAACCUGGAGCAGUACAGGGUGUCACUGCAGGGAAGGGACAUGGUGAAUUACAGACGGGCUCUGAAAGCUUCCUUCUAGAAGUGACAGGUGUCACUUGUGCUCGCAUCUUAUUCCCAAAUCAAGUCCCAGAGGCCAGACUAACUCCAAGUGGACAAGGAAAUGCGACCCUUCUGUUUUCCUGAAAGAACAAGAAGAGUACUUGGGAACAGUCCUAAUGAAGACCACAAUAUCUUUUUAAAAGACAAAAUUCUAAUACUGACAUAAGCACUGACAAACCAGUAGAACAGAUGAGAGAUUCCAUGAAAAAUAAAUACACAAGUGGUGGUCAAAAAGACACAGUAAAUAUUUAAAGAAAAGCUUGUUACAAAAGAUGACACAUCGCUAAGAACAAUGGGCUGUGUUCUAAGAGAGAAUUUUUAAGAUGGCUAAAGCCAAAGUGUCUUUUACUAUAAUAAAUUUUAAAGUUGAAACAUUCUCUGUAUUUUAUGAUCACUUCUCAUCGAUCAAAUGUCUCUGACAAUUUCUUUCAAAUAAAAAUAUUCACCUUGGAGGAGAGCAAGAAGUCAACAGGAAGCUACAAGCUGUGAUUCAGGUCUUAGCUGAUGGGGCGUCCGGGCAGGGGCAGACACCAGCCCUCUCCUGUGAGUUGGCGCCAUUUGCAGACUAUGGGGGAGAACAAGAAGUCAGCAAGAAGCUAAGACCUCCUGUGUGUCAGCACCAUUUGUGGGCUGACUAGGUGUCAUGGUUUAUGUCUGUGUCCCCCAGGCCUCAUGCAUUUACAUUGUGCACCUGUGAUUGGUUCAUUUUAUGGUGCUUGGAUUGAUGGUGUCAGUGCUACACCCACAUAGGGGUGGAUCCAGGAGGUGAUGUAAUGGCAGGAAGAAGGUGUGUCUUGCUCCCUGGCCAGUUUCUGCCUUGCUGUUUGCAGCCGCCAUGAACUGCGGCCCUGCCAUGCCAGCCUGCCUUGGAGCCAACUGAGUAUGGACUGAAACCUCCAAAAACUGUAAGAAAUAAACCUUUCCUUUCCCAACUUUGGGCAUCAGGUAUUUUGUCUCAGCAGCCAGUAAAAAGUAACUAAGACACUAGGGGAGAGACAGAUGCCAACCCCUUCUGGUGCAAGGCCAGGGAGCCAACAUCCCCCCCACACACACAUGCCAUAAACAACUGGCUAAUCCAGAGAAACACAGUCUGUGAUGAUAGCUAAUGAGGUAAAUAUAACCUAAUGCUUGUAGUGUUUGGUGUUUCAUGACUUUGCAGGUCUGAAGCCAAUAGUCUGAUAGUUUUUCAGAGGAUAACAACAUUCAGUGUAGCCUCUAUGGGGAAUUUCCUUCUAAAGGUGGUAGCCAUUGAUAAUGAUAAUUCUCUAUUACCUUGUUUCAAAGUCCUAUGUCAUUCUCGUUGCUUUGUUUGGUUGGGCUUUAUUCUGUUUUAUCUUGUUUGAUUUUUUUUUAACGGGGAUUAAACUCAUGACCCCAUGCUUGCCGGGCAGGCAUUUAAGCCACUGAUCUAAAUCCCUGGCCCUUGUUUGAUUUUUUUGUAUCUAAUGGCAUGGGCAGCUAUUUCAAAGAUAAUAACAUAUAUUAUGGUAGCCAUUUUGGAUUUACUAUUAUCUUGUUUUGAAGUCCAGCAUUGCAUUCAUUGUUUUGAUUUAUUGGGUUCUGUUUUGCUUGGUUUUACUGUGUCUGAGGACAUGGUCAGCUAUUUUAAAGACAGGAAGGGGCAUUAUGGUAGCCAUUGUUGAUUUCCUAUUACUUUAUUUUGAGAUCCUGUGUCACCUGCAUUGUCUUGUUUUGCUUGGCUUUAUUCGGUUUUGUUUUGCUUUGUUUUAUUCUCUCUAAAAUAAUUUUUUUUAAAAAAAUAUUCACCUUGUUCACCAGUUCUAGCAUAGUUCAACUUCUCAAAGUAUAAAUGACCAUGAAAGGUAAAUGUUUUGAAUUGAUUAAGACAUCCAAACCGCCACCACAGUACUAAAGACACUCACAAAAGAGGACAGUCAGACCUGCUUCAGAACGCAGCAAGAAUGAGAGGAUAAAUGUGUUUGAAGUAAGGGCAAGUAGUUUUAGUAUUCUGAAGAGGAUUAAUGGCAAUGUGUCUUUCCCUGAAAUAAAGUUUUAAAUUUAAACAGUCACUUGAUUUUAUAAUCAUUUCUUAUUGAUCACAUGUUUAUGGCAAUUUCUGUCAAAUAAAAACACUCACAUUUUUACAGUCUUUUUUGCAGCUUAGACAAGAAAAAUUUAUUUCAGUUCAGGAAGCUAGGAAAUUCAAGAUCAAGACACCGGUCAAUUUAUUUUCUAGUGAAGGCUCAUUUCUCACUUGCAGAUGGGUCUUCCUUUUUACAGCCUUUACUGUAAUAAUUUUUAAAAAAUUUGAACAUGCACUGAGAUUUUUAUCAUAUCAUGUAUAUAAAAUAGAUAUGUUCCAGAUGUGGUGAUGCAUGCUUGAAAUGCCAGCACAUCAAUCCAAUCUGGGAAUCCAUCUGGGAAACUGAGGCAGGAGAAUUGCAAGAUUGAACUCAGCCUGGGCCAUUUAGCAACUUACAGAUAUCCUGCUUCAAAAUAAAAAAUAAAAAAGGGCUGGGGAUGUAGCUAGUGUUAUGGAUUAAGAACUGGUGGUUUAGCACAAGCUGGAUUACAUCAGCAUGGCACUGAGCGAAGAUGCUCCACCUGAGGAAAGUUGCCGGCAUAAAUAGGUGGAGAAGGAGAAGGAGAUUGUUAAGGCACUGAGGCGUUAAUGCAUUGUUACACUGAGGCAUUAUGGGUUCUCCUACGAGUUGCUGUUUGAGCCGUUGGUUCUCCUGGAGAAGCGCUGGUCCUCACAUCGAGCAUUGCUUCCUGGCUCCGGAGGGGAAGACGUGUGCCGCUUGGUCUCCAGGACCAACUCGUCAUGCUGGCUUCCUGACAUGUACUCAACUGUGCUUGUCUUGGAGGAGGUCGGGGCCUCCAUGUCGCUGAGGAUGGCCGUGGUGCCUUUCAGGACAGCCCUGGUCUUUGUUGUGAGUGUGACUUCUUGGCUCCAGUAUAGAACCCUCAACCUACCAGCACAGCUCCUUCACCCCCCUGGCAUAGACUUUCUGGCUUCCACCACUGACCUUUGGGGUGGAUCUGUAAAAGAGACUGGUAUGAGUCCUUGUGGGCUCUGGACCUCCAGUUGGACUCGUGGGAGGCAUUGUCAUGAGCUCUGGGUCUUCAUCCGGACUCACGUGGAUAUCACAUGGAUUUAGGCCCUUGACUAAAUAUUCUAUGCCUUUGGUGCUGCAGAUAGAUUUCCUUACAUUUUCUUGUGUUAA